rnacentral:rRNA from 1 species
GACGAACGCUGGCGGCGUGCUUAACACAUGCAAGUCGAACGGAAAGGCCCUGCUUUUGUGGGGUGCUCGAGUGGCGAACGGGUGAGUAACACGUGAGUAACCUGCCCUUGACUUUGGGAUAACUUCAGGAAACUGGGGCUAAUACCGGAUAGGAGCUCCUACUGCAUGGUGGGGGUUGGAAAGUUUCGGCGGUUGGGGAUGGACUCGCGGCUUAUCAGCUUGUUGGUGGGGUAGUGGCUUACCAAGGCUUUGACGGGUAGCCGGCCUGAGAGGGUGACCGGCCACAUUGGGACUGAGAUACGGCCCAGACUCAUACGGGAGGCAGCAGUGGGGAAUAUUGCACAAUGGGCGGAAGCGUGAUGCAGCAACGCCGCGUGCGGGAGGACGGCCUUCGGGUGGUAAACCGCUUUCGCCUGUGACGAAGCGUGAGUGACGGUAAUGGGGAAAGAAGCACCGGCUAACUACGU